rnacentral:rRNA from 1 species
UACGGGGGGGGCAAGCGUUGUUCGGAAUUACUGGGCGUAAAGGGCUGGUAGGCGGCCAUCUAAGUCGGAUGUGAAAUCCCCAGGCUUAACCUGGGAACUGCAUCCGAUACUGGUCGGCUUGAAUCCGGGAGAGGGAUGCAGAAUUCCAGGUGUAGCGGUGAAAUGCGUAGAUAUCUGGAGGAACACCGGUGGCGAAGGCGGCAUCCUGGACCGGCAUUGACGCUGAGGCGCGAAAGCCAGGGGAGCAAACGGG